UCAAAUGCCUCCUGCAUGCCCCCCACCUGGGAUUGAGCCUGUAACCCAGGCAUGUGCCCUGAUUGGCUAUUAAACCCAUGACCUCCUGGUGCAUAGGUUGGCGUUCAACCACCGAGCCACUCUUGCCCCGUGGGAACUAUUUUUUCGCUUAUUAACAUUGGUAAUAUUUUGUUACCAAUAUUUUU